rnacentral:rRNA from 1 species
GUAGGUGGCAAGCGUUGUCCGGAAUUAUUGGGCGUAAAGCGCGCGCAGGCGGUUCUUUAAGUCUGAUGUGAAAGCCCACGGCUCAACCGUGGAGGGUCAUUGGAAACUGGAGAACUUGAGUACAGAAGAGGAAAGCGGAAUUCCACGUGUAGCGGUGAAAUGCGUAGAGAUGUGGAGGAACACCAGUGGCGAAGGCGGCAUUCUGGUCUGUAACUGACGCUGAGGCGCGAAAGCGUGGGGGAGCAAACAGGAUUAGAUACCCUGGUAGUCCACGCCGUAAACGAUGAGUGCUAAGUGUUAGGGGGUUUCCGCCCCUUAGUGCUGCAGCUAACGCAUUAAGCACUCCGCCCUGGGAGUACGGCCGCAAGGCUG